rnacentral:rRNA from 1 species
AGUGAACGCUGGCGGUAGGCCUAACACAUGUCAGUCGAACGGAAGCACAGUAAGAGCUUGCUCUUACGGGUGGCGAGUGGCGCCUGGCUGAGGAAUACAUCGGACUCUACCUUUUCGUGGGGGAUAACGUAGGGAAACUUACGCUACUACCGCAUACGACCUACGGGUGCAUGCAGGGGAUCUUCGGACCUUGCGCGAUUGAAUGAGCCGAUGUCGGAUUAGCUAGUUGGCGGGGUAAAGGCCCACCAAGGCGACGAUCCGUAGCUGGUCUGAGAGGAUGAUCAGCCACACUGGAACUGAGACACGGUCCAGACUCCUACGGAAGGCAGCAGUGUGGAAUAUGGGACAAUGGGCGCGAGCCUGAUCCAGCCAUACCGCGGAGGUAAAGAAGGCGUGCGGGUUGUAAAGCCCUUAUGUUGGGAAAGAAAAGCAGCAGGUUAAUACCCCGCUGUUCUGACGGUACCCAAAGAAUAAGCACCGGCUGACUUCGUG